rnacentral:rRNA from 1 species
GACGAACGCUGGCGGCGUGCUUUACACAUGCAAGUCGAACGGUGAAGGUGGAGCUUGCUCCGCCGGAUCAGUGGCGAACGGGUGAGUAACACGUGGGCAACCUGCCCCUAACUUUGGGAUAACUACUCGAAAGAGUAGCUAAUACCGGAUAUGAAGUCUGUAGGCAUCUACGGACUUGGAAAGUUUUUCGGUUAGGGAUGGGCCCGCGGCCUAUCAGCUUGUUGGUGAGGUAGUGGCUCACCAAGGCGACGACGGGUAGCCGGCCUGAGGGGGCGACCGGCCACACUGGGACUGAGACACGGCCCAGACUCCUACGGGAGGCAGCAGUGGGGAAUAUUGCGCAAUGGGCGAAAGCCUGACGCAGCAACGCCGCGUGCGGGAUGAAGGCCUUCGGGUUGUAAACCGCUUUCAGCAGGGAGGAAGCGAAAGUGACGGUACCUGCAGAAGAAGCACCGGCUAACUACGUGCCAGCCGCCGCGGUAA